AUACCUGUCUACUUUUUGCAUUAG
rnacentral:piRNA from 1 species